GAGGAAUCCACGAAACCCUGAAUUGCAGAUUUUGGUUGAGACAGUGGGAUUUUGGACCUGAGAUUGAUCACCCAUCAGUAGUUGCUAGAUUUGGAUCUGUCCUCACCCGAUUUGGAGAUCAUUAGAUCUUGAGGGGCUUUGUUGCUGGUUUGGAGGUGUUUCCAG